UACGGGGGGUGCAAGCGUUGUCCGGAAUUACUGGGCGUAAAGCGUGCGCAGGCGGUUCGUUGUGUCGGCGGUGAAAGCCCCGGGCUUAACCUGGGAAUGGCUGUCGAAACUGGCGAACUGGAGUGUGGCAGAGGGGGGUGGAAUUCCGCGUGUAGCAGUGAAAUGCGUAGAGAUGCGGAGGAACACCGAUGGCGAAGGCAGCCCCCUGGGCUGACACUGACGCUCAGGCACGAAAGCGUGGGGAGCAAACAGG
rnacentral:rRNA from 1 species